rnacentral:rRNA from 1 species
CACGGAUCCAGAGUUUGAUCAUGGCUCAGGACGAACGCUGGCGGCGUGCCUAAUACAUGCAAGUAGAACGCUGAAGGAGGGAGCUUGCUUCUUCUGGAUGAGUUGCGAACGGGUGAGUAACGCGUAGGUAACCUGCCUGAUAGCGGGGGAUAACUAUUGGAAACGAUAGCUAAUACCGCAUAAGAGGUAAUAACACAUGUUAUUAGUUUAAAAGGGGCAAUUGCUCCACUAUCAGAUGGACCUGCGUUGUAUUAGCUAGUUGGUAAGGUAACGGCUUACCAAGGCGACGAUACAUAGCCGACCUGAGAGGUUGAACGGCCACAUUGGGACUGAGACACGGCCCAGACUCCUACGGGAGGCAGCAGUGGGGGAUAUUGGACAAUGGGGGAAACCCUGAUCCAGCGAUGCCGCGUGAGGGAAGAAGGUUUUCGGAUUGUAAACCUCUGUGAAAGGGGACGAUAAUGACGGUACCCUUUUAGAAAGCCACGGCUAACUACGUGCCAGCAGCCGCGGUAAUACGUAGGUGGCGAGCGUUGUCCGGAAUUACUGGGUGUAAAGGGAGUGUAGGCGGGAGAGCAAGUCAGAAGUGAAAAUUAUGGGCUUAACCCAUAACCUGCUUUUGAAACUGUUCUUCUUGAGUGAAGUAGAGGCAAGCGGAAUUCCUAGUGUAGCGGUGAAAUGCGUAGAUAUUAGGAGGAACACCAGUGGCGAAGGCGGCUUGCUGGGCUUUUACUGACGCUGAGGCUCGAAAGCGUGGGGAGCAAACAGGAUUAGAUACCCUGGUAGUCCACGCCGUAAACGAUGAUUACUAGGUGUGGGGAGUUGAACCUUUCCGUGCCGGAGUUAACACAAUAAGUAAUCCACCUGGGGAGUACGACCGCAAGGUUGAAACUCAAAGGAAUUGACGGGGGCCCGCACAAGCAGUGGAGUAUGUGGUUUAAUUCGAAGCAACGCGAAGAACCUUACCAGGUCUUGGCAUCAAGUGAAGAGUCCAGAGAUGGGCUCGUCCUUCGGGACACGAAGACAGGUGGUGCAUGGUUGUCGUCAGCUCGUGUCGUGAGAUGUUGGGUUAAGUCCCGCAACGAGCGCAACCCUUACUAUUAGUUGCUACGCAAGAGCACUCUAAUAGGACUGCCGUUGACAAAACGGAGGAAGGUGGGGAUGACGUCAAAUCAUCAUGCCCUUUAUGACCUGGGCUACACACGUACUACAAUGGCAUUUAACAAAGAGCAGCAAAACCGCGAGGUGGAGCAAAUCUCCAAAAAAUGUCUCAGUUCAGAUUGCAGGCUGCAACUCGCCUGCAUGAAGUCGGAAUUGCUAGUAAUCGUAGGUCAGAAUACUACGGUGAAUACGUUCCCGGGCCUUGUACACACCGCCCGUCAAACCAUGAGAGUUGGCAACACCCGAAGUCGGUAGUCUAACCGCAAGGAGGACGCCGCCGAAGGUGGGGUUGAUGAUUAGGGUUAAGUCGUAACAAGGUAGCCGUAAGCUUCAC